CACAGCACAUCUUAUUCCUCAUUUUCUGGCAGUUUGACAUCCCACUUUGUCCAAAAUUUUCUCCUCUUCCAUACCUAUCUCAAAAUAUAAAAAUAAAAUCUAUUUAAUUUUCAAGAACCCCUUUUUCUUCUUGCCUAAUUAACAAAACAAUCAUGGAAGAUUACAGAUCAAAAUCAUAUGCUGAUGGUAGGAUGCAGAUGGAUAAAUAUUAUGAACCCCAAUUUUCUAAUGAUUUCAGGUCUUACAGUGUUUCAUAUGCAACUGCACCACCCCUCCCACUACCUCCAGCCCAACAGAGCAAAAAUUGGAAGCUGAAGAAAGGGAAGAGCACUAGUGGAUCAACAUCAAAAUCUUGGAACUUCAAUGAUCCUGAGUUCCAGAGGAAGAGGAGGGUUGCUAGUUAUAAAGUUUACUCUGUUGAAGGAAAGGUUAAAGGGUCUCUCAGGAGAAGUUUAAGAUGGUUUAAAGACAAUUAUACACAGGUUCUCUAUGGAUGGAGGUGAUUCAUCAAGAUUUGGCCUUCUUAUGCUUGUUUUGAUUCAUCAAAAUGUUAUAUUUUGUUGCCAAGAGGGCAUUUCCGUUUAAUUUAUAGUUUGUUAUGGAAGAAGGUGUUAAGGUAAGUUGUUGGGUAGAAACGCAGAGAAACAGGUAGAUGGGGAGAAUACGAAGUAGUCUGAACAGGCACAAUGUUCCAUCGUCCACUAUGUCAGAUGUUGCAGAAGAGUUGUCUUAGCUAUUUUUGUUCUUUUGAAGAGUCGUUGUAGGAAGUGCAACUAGCGGAGCAUUUAGGUUCACUAUGUGGGCUAGACGUAGUUUUGAAAUGGGCAAUUUACA